AUAAUAUCCUUGUUCCUGCUUUACUGUGAAACUGUGAAAAUACCGAUGACGAGUGUUAACAAAGUUGUUUAUUCGUCAAGAAACAUGUGCAGAAUUCAAAAUUUAAAACCCUCCUCUGCUGAACUGCCGGACACUGGAACGAAAGCAAUGGUCAGGAACAGCAGAACCCAGCGGUCUUCAACCGUCUCGUCAUCAGGAAACGCUACCAAAGGUUUGCAUCCCAGCUCAUUUCAGUUGUCGAUGAAUGGAAAAAUCUGGGUCUUUAUUAGUGGUUAACAGUUUUCAAGAGAGACGAAUCGUCGAAACAAAGAACAGCUAUGCAAGAAUCGGCAGGCUUAUUGUUA
rnacentral:misc_RNA from 1 species